rnacentral:rRNA from 1 species
UACGAAGGGGGCUAGCGUUGCUCGGAAUCACUGGGCGUAAAGGGUGCGUAGGCGGGUCUUUAAGUCAGAGGUGAAAGCCUGGAGCUCAACUCCAGAACUGCCUUUGAUACUGAGGAUCUUGAGUAUGGGAGAGGUGAGUGGAACUGCGAGUGUAGAGGUGAAAUUCGUAGAUAUUCGCAAGAACACCAGUGGCGAAGGCGGCUCACUGGCCCAUAACUGACGCUGAGGCACGAAAGCGUGGGGAGCAAACAGG